GUGCCGGCGAAGGGGGAAACCUCCGGUGUCCUGGCUGCCCUGCGACGGUCGUGUAGCGGAGGGGCUCCCAGAGCCUUGACCUCUCGCGGCGUGCAAAAGGUCGGUGACCCACCCGACCCGUCUUGAAACACGGACCAAGGAGUCUAACAUGUGUGCGAGUCAGUGGGCGCACUAAACCCAAAGGCGCAAUGAAAGUGAAAGGGGGGCUCCCCUGAGGAGUCCUCCGGGGCCGAUCCUUGACCGAGUGAGAGACGCCGGGGUCGACCCAUACCAAAGCGGGGCCGCCAUGGCGGCGCGCGGAGGUGAGACCCUUUCCCACGUUAGCGCCGUCGGCCCCGUGGGCCCCCGGUGCGCUCUCCGGUCCGGAGUAACAUCCGCCUGUACGCAGGGAGGCGCAGGCCCGGGACUUGUCACCCGACGCCGUCGCGUGAAGCUGUUGUUGGUCACGCCGGCUUUGCUUGGGCUCUCGGUUGUGGGUGCCGCGUGUCUUUGGGCGCGUCAGUUGGUCGUUGCUGUCGGGCUCGUCUCGGCGGCGGCGGUUGCUGGCUCGUCCGGCGCGGUGGCUCCUUCCGAUCCUGCUCUGUUCGGCGCGGCCUAGCGCGCGUGCUGUCGGCAAGUACCAUGAGCAGACAUGUUGGGACCCGAAAGAUGGUGAACUAUGCCUGGCCAGGAUGAAGCCAGAGGAAACUCUGGUGGAGGUCCGCAGCAAUUCUGACGUGCAAAUCGAUUGUCAGAGCUGGGUAUAGGGGCGAAAGACUAAUC
rnacentral:rRNA from 1 species